GCUCCUCCUCCCUCUUCUCCACUCAAAAUGAUUUGUCAUAGUUUAAUUUUAAACACUAUCAUUGACUAUUCUUUCUUUCUACCCCACCUCUUUCCACCUUUUUUUUUUUCUUGGAAGUUCCAGGAAUGACUUUAAUUAUCUCCACAAUCAAAUUCUCGUUGCUGCCUCUGUGAAAGUGUGCAGUCAUAGAUGGCAGGGAUUAUUUUCUUUAGCACUUGGGGAUACAGAAACCGGUUGUUUCAAAAUGAGAACCAGCUGGUUCCACAGAGCCCUUAUUUAAUGGGGAGCCACUUUGUACACAAAGCCUUUGCUCAGGUCAGUCAUUAUGGCAAACCCCAAAUCAGCAGUGUUUUGUCUAUCACCCUGUAUUAAAUGUCGAGCGAGGAGUGAUUUAGCAGAUAUGAUAAUAAUAAUAAUAAUAAUUAAGAAAUACCCAGCACACCCUGCAUCUUUAAUUUUGCCUCAACUAAACACUCCGGUUUGGAAGGAACAUUUCUCAAACUUCUUCCUACAGUGAUUACAAUCAUAGACCUAGUUUACCACUGCUCUCUCAUAGAUGGCUGAGGGUUAUAAAUGAUUCCUGGGGACUCCCACACACAACUUUGUCAUUGUGGAAAUGUGAAAGGGUAUCUCCAGAUUUUCUAGCAGACAGCUUCAUUUGUCUGGUUGCAAGCUAAGAACCUUCAAUGUAUACCAAGACAUACAAAACUUAGGGAAGGCUAGCACUUUAAUUCUAUCAUUCACAUACCUCUUCGAGGGAAUGACAUAAAGAUCUCACAUGGGUUCAGCUCUUUUUAGUUUUCAUGACAACACAGUGAGGGUGUAUAAUUCCUUUUAAGGCAAAUAAUGCUGAGCAUCUUUGGAAUGAAGCUAUGAAAUUAUAUGCUCUGCUAAUAUCCUUUGCUUGUGAGUGACAAUACAGUAUAUAUUCCUUAAGCUUGAAGAAAUUGGAAUUUCAUAAAAUCUUGAAAAAAAUUUUUUUCUAUGUGCAGAGGAGACGAGAGAGAGACUGAGAAACAGAAAACUUUGUCCAGG
rnacentral:lncRNA from 1 species